AAGAAGACCUCAACCGGAGCUGCUAACUCACGGCCCCUGGAAUUAACCUACC
rnacentral:tRNA from 1 species